rnacentral:tRNA from 1 species
ACCUGGCUGGCUCAGUUGGUGGAGUAUGUGACUCUUAAUCUUGGGGUCAUGGGCUCGAGCCCCAUGUUGGGUG